GAUGAACGCUAGCGGCAGGCUUAAUACAUGCAAGUCGAACGGGAUUGAGAAGCUUGCUUUUCAUGAGAGUGGCGCACGGGUGCGUAACACGUAUGCAACCUACCUUGUCCAGGGGGAUAGCCCGUUGAAAGACGGAUUAAGACCGCAUAACAUUGAGCUGUGGCAUCACAAAUCAAUCAAAUAUUUAUAGGGACAAGAUGGGCAUGCGCCUGAUUAGGUAGUUGGCGGGGUAAUGGCCCCCCAAGCCGACGAUCAGUAGGGGAUCUGAGAGGAUGACCCCCCACACUGGUACUGAGACACGGACCAGACUCCUACGGGAGGCAGGAGUAAGGAAUAUUGGUCAAUGGGCGAAAGCCUGAACCAGCCAUGCCGCGUGCAGGAAGACGGCCCUACGGGUUGUAAACUGCUUUUAUACGGGAAUAACCCCGGUUUCGUGAAACCGGCUGAAUGUACCGUAGAAUAAGGAUCGGCUAACUCCGUGCCAGCCGCCGCCGUAA
rnacentral:rRNA from 1 species